GGGCCUAUGGUCUAACCCGGAUUAUGACAGAAGGCUUCGGACCUUCAAAUCGGGGUUCAAAUCCCCGUGGGCCCA
rnacentral:tRNA from 2 species